GUCUAUGGCCCUACCACCCUGAACACUUCGGAUGUCAUCUCAUCUCGGAAGCUAAGCAGGGUUGGGCCUGCUUAGGACUUGGGUGGGGGAAUGGAGAAAUUGCUGGCCUUUUGACG
ensembl:rRNA 5S_rRNA 5S ribosomal RNA